CAAUAGCGUAUAUUAAAGUUGUUGCAGUUAAAAAGCUCGUAGUUGGAUUUGUGGCGUACGGUGUGUUCCGGGCACUUGUUGUCUGAGUAACCUGCUGUUGCCAUCCUUGGGUGGAACCUGUGUGGCAUUAGGUUGUCGUGCAGGGGAUGCCCAUCAUUUACUGUGAAAAAAUUAGAGUGUUCAAAGCAGGCUUAUGCCGUUGAAUAUAUUAGCAUGGAAUAAUGAGAUAGGACUUUUUUGCUAUUUUGUUGGUUUGCGCAAAGAGGUAAUGAUUAAUAGGGACAGUUGGGGGUAUUCGUAUUCCAUUGUCAGAGGUGAAAUUCUUGGAUUUAUGGAAGACGAACUACUGCGAAAGCAUUUACCAAGGAUGUUUUCAUUAA
rnacentral:rRNA from 1 species